GCCUUCGUGGUGUAGUGGUCAGGACGCUGAACGCGUGUUUUAGAGGUCCGUGGUUCGAUUCCCGGCGAAGGCA
rnacentral:tRNA from 1 species